rnacentral:lncRNA from 1 species
AAACAGAGCACCACCAAGCAAUGAAAUCCCAUGCCCUCCACCAGGAACAGGCCUACUCACCCAGGCAAACUCCUCCCAGUGGGAGGGUGGAGCUGCUCCUGGGCUCUGCCUAUAAAAGCAGAACUGGAGGCAAUGCCUGUGUUUGCUGGGGGGGGAGAGCCUUUCCUCCCUCUGCCCCAGGUCUCCAGCUUGGGUCACUAGCGUGCAAGACGAGCUUAAGUGAAAGCCAUGAAGCAUUAAGACUGCAUGAGGGUUAUUUUGAGAUCAUCUGA